rnacentral:rRNA from 1 species
AACCCGACUACAUGAAGCUGGAAUCGCUAGUAAUCGCGAAUCAGAAUGUCGCGGUGAAUAUGUUCCCGGGUCUUGUACACACCGCCCGUCACACCAUGGGAGUUGGAAAUGCCCGAAGUCAGUGACCCAACCGCAAGGAGGGAGCUGCCGAAGGCAGGUCCGGUAACUGGGGUGAAGUCGUAACAAGGUAGC